GGAUAAGCUUCCCGGCUAAUAAUUGCCUAGUCUGCCCAAAUAAGGACGCAAUCAUGCUUUAAGGCAGCAAGAUGACACAUUAACUAUGAAUCCGGAAUCAAUCUAUAGUCGGAUGGUUUAGCAGUUCAAUCCUUCAUUAUUGCCAUGUAGUUUAUGGGCUACCUCUCCUCUGUUCAAAACCAAGCCUAUUGUCACUGAUGCAAUAAAAAUGCAUGAACAUUGAAUGCGUCUUGGACAAUUUGCCACAUUUAGCAUGGACUCGAACUUCAAAACCCAAACAAGAAAGGCAGUAACCAGUAAAAUGAGUUGACAAGUUUCAGUACUCACCAGUGAACUAAUAUUCAAGAAGCACAAUCACUACAUAUUUACUGUGAUAAUAAUCUUUACUUGAUAGACUAUACGGAAUGCAACGCACACCUAGGAACAAAACAAUAGCUGGAUAUAGACAACACCGUCU
rnacentral:misc_RNA from 1 species